rnacentral:rRNA from 1 species
AGAGUUUGAUCCUGGCCAGAUUGAACGCUGGCGGAAUGCUUUACACAUGCAAGUCGAACGGCAGCACGGGAGCUUGCUCCUGGUGGCGAGUGGCGAACGGGUGAGUAACAUAUCGGAACAUAUCCUAUCGUGGGGGAUAACUAGUCGAAAGACUAGCUAAUACCGCAUACGUCCUGAGGGAGAAAGCGGGGGCUCGCAAGACCUCGCGCGAUUGGAGUGGCCGAUAUCUGAUUAGCUAGAUGGUGAGGUAAAAGCUCACCAUGGCGACGAUCAGUAGCUGGUCUGAGAGGAUGAUCAGCCACACUGGGACUGAGACACGGCCCAGACUCCUACGGGAGGCAGCAGUGGGGAAUUUUGGACAAUGGGCGAAAGCCUGAUCCAGCCAUUCCGCGUGAGUGAAGAAGGCCUUCGGG